CCAAGGAGUCUAACAUGUGCGCGAGUCACUGGGAUAUGCUAAACCCAGAGGCGCAGUGAAAGCGUGGGGCUCGCCCGGCUUAACGCCGAGGCGACGCGAAGGGAGCACGGCCGGUCGUUCCAGACCGGUGCGGCCGGCCAGCACUCCCGGGGCGCCUAGGCCUCGGCUGCAGGCGCACCCGGAGCGCACACGUUGGGACCCGAAAGAUGGUGAACUAUGCCCGGCCAGACGAAGUCAGGGUAAACCAUGAUGGAGGUCCGCAGCGAUUCUGACGUGCAAAUCGAUCGUCACAGCUAGGUAUAGGGGCGAAUGACUAAUCGAACCAUCUAGUAGAUGGUUCCCUCCGACGUUUCCCUCAGGAUAGCUGGCGCCGAGUUGGAGUGGGUCAGUCUCAUCCGGUAAAGCGAAUGAUUAGAGGCCUUGGGGCCGAAACGACCUCAACCUAUUCUCAAACUUUAAAUGGGUGAGAUCUCCGGCUUGCUUGAGCGAAGCCGCGAGAAGACGGAUGAUGGUGCCAAGUGGGCCAAUUUUGGUAAGCAGAACUGGCGCUGUGGGAUGAACCAAACGCCGGGUUAAGGCGCCUAAACCGGAGCUCAUGGGAGACCAUGAAAGGCGUUGGUUGCUUAAGACAGCAGGACGGUGGCCAUGGAAGUCGGAAUCCGCUAAGGAGUGUGUAACAACUCACCUGCCGAAGCAACUAGCCCUGAAAAUGGAUGGCGCUAAAGCUCCGUGCCUAUACCCGGCCGCCGGAAGGCAAGGCCGCUAUGCUGAAGCCCCGGCGAGUAGGAGGGCGCCGCGGUGAGCGCGGAAGGGUCUGGGCGUGAGCCCGCCUGGAGCCGCCGCCGGUGCAGAUCUUGGUGGUAGUAGCAAAUACUCAAGCGAGGGCCUUGAGGGCUGAUGCGGAGAAGGGUUUCGUGUGAACAGCCGUUGCACACGAGUCAGUCGAUCCUAAGCCCUAGGAGAAAUCCGAUGCCGAUGAGGCGGGGUGGCUACCCGCCCGUCGAGGGCGAAAGGGAAUCCGGUUCCUAUUCCGGAACCCGGCAGCGGAACCGAACCGUCGGGCCCUCGCAAGAGAAGCUCGUCGGGGUAACCCAAAGGGACCCGGAGACGCCGUCGGGAGACCCGGGCAGAGUUUUCUGUUCUGCAUAAGCGUUCGAGUUCCCUGGAAUCCUCUAGCAGGGAGGUAGGGUUUGGAACGCGAAGAGCACCGCAGUUGCGGCGGUGUCCGGGUCGUCCCCUCGGACCUUGAAAAUCCGGGAGAGGGCUACGCGGAGGUGUCGCGCCGGCUCGUACCCAUAUCCGCAGCUGGU
rnacentral:rRNA from 1 species